AGCCCCCUGCGCUGUGCGAGAUUCUGGCGAAUGUCCCUGAGCCGAUGUCUUAACCUAAUGGGGGCUCUGGUUGAUGUGGGAGUGCACGUCCGCAUGACGGAAAGCCCGAUACAUCACGUGAGCCACCACCUUGAACCAAGGGUUCAAGGGCUACCGCCAGUUACGGCAGCACGGGGGGUGC
rnacentral:other from 1 species